AUUGAACGCUGGCGGCAUGCCUUACACAUGCAAGUCGAGCGGCAGCGCGGGGGCAACCCUGGCGGCGAGCGGCGAACGGGUGAGUAAUACAUCGGAACGUGUCCUGUCGUGGGGGAUAACCAGUCGAAAGACUGGCUAAUACCGCAUGAGAUCGAAAGAUGAAAGCGGGGGACCGCAAGGCCUCGCGCGAUUGGAGCGGCCGAUGUCGGAUUAGCUAGUUGGCGGGGUAAAAGCCCACCAAGGCGACGAUCCGUAGCUGGUUUGAGAGAACGACCAGCCACACAGGGACUGAGACACGGCCCAGACUCCUACGGGAGGCAGCAGUGGGGAAUUUUGGACAAUGGGGGCAACCCUGAUCCAGCCAUGCCGCGUGUGUGAAGAAGGCCUUCGGGUUGUAAAGCACUUUCGGCCGGAACGAAAUCGCGCGGGCUAUUACCCCGCGUGGAUGACGGUACCGGAAGAAGAAGCACCGGCUAACUACGUGCCAGCCGCCGCCGUAA
rnacentral:rRNA from 1 species